rnacentral:rRNA from 1 species
GAUGAACGCUAGCGGCAGGCCUAACACAUGCAAGUCGAGGGAGGAGCUCUCGGGCUUCGACCGGCGUACGGGUGCGUAACGCGUAUACAAUCUUCCGUUCACAUAGAGAUAGCGCGAAGAAAUUUGGAUUAAUACCUAAUGUUAGAUAGGAGUGGCAUCACCUUUAUAUUAAAGCUGAGUCGGUGUAAGAUGAGUAUGCGGUCUAUUAGCUAGUUGGAGAGGUAACGUCUCUCCAAGGCGACGAUAGAUAGGGGUUCUGAGAGGGAUAUCCCCCACACGAGUACUGGGACACGGACCAGACGACUACGGGAGGCAGCAGUGAGGUAUAGUGGACAAUGGUCGGAAGACUGAUACAGCCAUGCCGAGUGCAGGAAGGCGGUGUUACGGGUUGUAAGCUGCUUUUGGAGGGGAAGAGUAAGGAGUACGUGUACUUUGAUGACGGUACUGGGAGAAUAAGCAUCGGCUAACUCCGUG